GGGCCCUUAGCUCAGCGGUUAGAGCACCCGGCUCAUAACCGGGUAGUCCCUGGUUCAAAUCCUGGAGGGCCUACCA
rnacentral:tRNA from 4 species